AAAGUGCCACAGCUUGGCGAGAACAGAUACCGACCGUCGCCGCAGAUUCUCCCAGGUGCGGUUGUUUGUUGACUUCGUUUCCACGUACGUCGCUGGAAAAAUGCUGACUGCCACGCACACCCUUCCGUCGUGCCACAUUUCGGCUUUGUGCUCAGGUCGCCGCACCUCUGAGCGCAGGGACCACGGACCACCUGUGUCUGCUGCUGACAGGGACCACAGACCACCUGUGUCUGCUGCCAACUGGCGACCACAGACCACCUCUGUCUGCUGACAGAGGACCACAGACCAUGGACCACCUGCGUUUCUUUGCUUUGGUUUCAUUUUCUCCUACUUCCUUUCUCCACCUCUCUGGACUCCGUUUUGCUGCACAGUGUGAGCCAGGGCACAAACAGCGGAGUGUCUUCGCGUCCUGUGGAGCUUUCCUCCAAGCCAUCUCGUGUGCAAAGGUAGAAGCCAAGCCUUUUCGUCUGGCUCCCCAUUAAACCCACUACAGAACACCAUGUUCAGCCCGAGGCCCCCCACACGGGACCAACAGUGUCGUCAGCACCGUGGGACCCGGCUGCACUGCGGUGAGGCUGUGUUGAUCGGACACGCAGUGCUCAGUGGCGCAGUAACACAGCUCCGCGGUCACUCACAAGGCGCAUGGCGCCCAGGUGCCAGUUGUCUUAUUUUAUGCACUCAGGUGUCCAAGUCCUUGUCCCCUGGCGAUGGAAUGGAGGCCAUGUUUGCUUCAGAGGAAGGCGGCCUCUCACUCUCAGGGCUCCUACUCCACGUGGGAAAGGCCUCAUGGAGAAGGCAGUUUGGGAGAGCAGUGGCAUUUGCAGCUGGCCCACGAGGAGCCCAGCACCUGACCAGGGCCGAGCCUGGGCUCUGGGACUUCGUCUCCAGCAUCUGUGAGGUCAGCAGCCCGAGUCCCGGGGCAGGUGGAAACCGCAGGCCCUCCCCCUCCCCCGCGGGAGCCUGGUCCAGUGCUUCCUCCGGCCCCUGCCUGCUGGGACUGCCUCUCCUUGGGGACUGGACAUCACCCCUUUGCCCACCCUGCAUCCACCUGCCACGUGGGGGCCGCGCUGUGUCGACUGCAGAAAGGACACUUCUGUGGUCCGCCCACCCUGGGCUGUCCUGGACAGUGACCUUCAGGACAAUCUGCUGGUCCCACUGA
rnacentral:lncRNA from 1 species